rnacentral:lncRNA from 1 species
GAGCUUUGUUGGAAAAAAUCAUCUUGCUGAAUGUGCCAUAACAUGCUUCCAAAGAGAUAUUCAUGUCUUAUAAUGAAGCUAAGAUUUUUUUUUUUGUCCAAAUUUAACUUUUACUUUGGAACUCCAUAUUUAUGACCCGACUCGAACUUGACCCAAACCCGAUUCAAACUCGAUCUAGACUCAUUUUUUUUUUGAGUUUGAACUAAUUUAUACAUGGAUCUGACAUGACUUGAAUAACCCAUUGGAUCAAAAUUUUAGUCACAGACUCCACUC